UAUGGCCUCAAAUCAGGUAGGAUUACCCGCUGAACUUAAGCAUAUCAAUAAGCGGAGGAAAAGAAACUAACAAGGAUUCCCCUAGUAACUGCGAGUGAAGCGGGAAAAGCUCAAAUUUAAAAUCUGGCAGUCUUUGGCUGUCCGAGUUGUAAUCUAGAGAAGUGUUAUCCGUGCUGGACCGUGUAUAAGUCUCCUGGAAUGGAGCGUCAUAGAGGGUGAGAAUCCCGUCUUUGACAUGGACUCCCAGUACAUUGUGAUACGCUCUCAAAGAGUCGAGUUGUUUGGGAAUGCAGCUCAAAAUGGGUGGUAAAUUCCAU
rnacentral:rRNA from 1 species